rnacentral:rRNA from 1 species
GUCUCAAAGAUUAAGCCAUGCAUGUCUAAGUACAGGCCCAAGCAAGGCGAAACCGCGAAUGGCUCAUUAAAUCAGUUAUGGUUCAUUGGAUCUUACCCUUUCUUACUUGGAUAACUGUGGUAAUUCUAGAGCUAAUACAUGCCAACCAGUAGCUCCGACGCGCCCCCGCGCGGAAGAGCGCUUUUAUUAGAUCAAAACCAGUCCUCCCUCGGGAGGUCAAACCACCUCAGUGGUGACUCUGAAUAACUUUUAGCUGAGCGCACGGCCCCCGUGCCGGCGCCGCAUCUUUCAAGUGUCUGCCUUAUCAGCUCUCGAUUGUAGGUUACGCGCCUACAAUGGCUAUAACGGGUAACGGGGAAUCAGGGUUCGAUUCCGGAGAGGGAGCCUGAGAAACGGCUACCACAUCUAAGGAAGGCAGCAGGCACGCAAAUUACCCACUCCCGGCUCGGGGAGGUAGUGACGAAAAAUAACGAUGCGGGACUCAUCCGAGGCCUCGCAAUCGGAAUGAGUACACUUUAAAUCCUUUAACGAGGAUCUAUUGGAGGGCAAGUCUGGUG